rnacentral:lncRNA from 1 species
GCCAGAGAUGGUCCGAGCCUGUCUCAUUCCGAGUCCAGGGUGUCCACCCUCACCGGACGCUUUCCUUUAGCUUUCGGACACUUUCUCCUGGUGGUUGGGGUCAAGAUCCAGAGACUCCAUUUGAGAGAGCUGUCCCUCCAGUGGAAGGCAAUCGUGUGACCCUCUUCCUGGAGCCCCAUCACAGGGGAACCUGACAGGACAGGAGAUCGAAGUGGCCCUGGCCUCACCCUCACUCUGAGACUGAUCCAGCCCACCACCUUUUCUUUGGAGAACUGAGAGACUUUAUCUGCAAAACAAAACAACCUUUCUUUGCCAGCAUUUCUUUCCUCACCUCCAGUAUAAUGUGUCUCCACCUCCCCUGGAUGCUCCCAUUCCUUUUGGUGGCUCAGGACGAUUUGUGCUGCCUGGGCUUUUCUGCUGGUUCUCAGUGACUUUUACCUCAAAAUAAUCCAUGUG